rnacentral:rRNA from 1 species
UACGUAGGGUGCAAGCGUUGUCCGGAAUUAUUGGGCGUAAAGAGCUCGUAGGCGGUUUGUCGCGUCUGCUGUGAAAACUCGGGGCUUAACCCCGGGCCUGCAGUGGGUACGGGCAGACUAGAGUGCGGUAGGGGAGACUGGAAUUCCUGGUGUAGCGGUGAAAUUCGUAGAUAUCAGGAGGAACACCGGUGGCGAAGGCGGCUUUCUGGACACUUACUGACGCUGAGACGCGAAAGCGUGGGGAGCAAACAGG